CCGUAAGUCGAGAAUUCAAAUCCUCAUGGACAGGCUUCGACUAUUUGGGACAUGGCCAAACACUAAUAUUUUAUGGCUAAAAAAAAGGCUGUGUAACGUUAUUCGAUCAGUGCAUUCCCACGUGAAACUCGCUGUGGAUAAUAUGCAAACGGCAUGCAGCGUAUGGCCCGCAGAAGAACCGAGUUACUGAAAUGAAAACAGCCGGGGACAUCGAAGAAUUGAACUACUGCAAGAAUGAUCGAGGUUAAUGAGUAUCCGCAUUAAGUGACUCCAGUAAUAUAUGUUGGAAAACGAAAUGCAGAAGUUUCGCAGGUCGCAAUUUUAUGAAAGACUAGAAAACAGGGAUACAACGUAUUGCAGCACUAUCAACCACAUUUAGCGAUGAUCUGAAUGACGUAACCCAAUCAAUCGAUCUCUGACAACAAACUGAAAAUUAAACCACCCGCCAUGCAGUGAAUAAAACUAAAAGUAUGAAAAGUGUGUCACCACCAUACAAACUGAGAUGCUACGGCAACAUCAUGCUAUACAUGUAAAGUGUGGAGCAGCCCGAAGGAGAGCCAAGCAGAGACAUCCGAGUAACUUCUCCAUUACUCAGCAACGUUGGUGAGUUUGCAUGCGUUUGGGUUACUGGUGUAUUUCCCUGGGACUCCUCCAUAACGUGGCGUGGCGGUAACAAUUGUUACACAAAUCUUCGAUAUCUUAGCUUCAUGGAUAGGCUCAUUCAUGAUUGCAACGGUGCUUGACUUAAGUUAGAUCGGUUUCUAUUUAUGUUGUAGUUGAAUUAUUUUACCAUAGUCAUUUAAAGUUAGAAAUUUUGCACGUUGCUAAAAGUGGAAUGAGCAUCGUGACAGGUCACCAUCACUUACUCAGCAUUCGCGAAAACCAACUGUGUUUAGCUUGUACCGAUAUAAUUACCUACCUAUGUUUGAAUUUUCUCAUGAUGUCGUUUAAGUGGUGGAUAUACCUGAGGUUUAAACAUAUUCCAACAAUUGUUUAAUCGAUAGCAAUUCAAAGUCUGGCAGAAUGUAACCUAAUUAAAUUGCAUGAUAUAUCUUGAAUCAUUUUCGAUUUCUUAGUACUCAGCAGCUAUCGAAUAACAACAGGCUUAGCUCGCUUAGAAAAAUGCUGAUUAGCAUACAGGAUGUUUUUAAUCCACCUUACAAAAGGUUGAUGUACCGAUAGUCAGCAAGCGGUUAAUAAAAUACUAUUUUCGCUGACUAUGGUACAAAAACAUUUUGCUCCCCACAGGUAACCAAUGAAAAAGUAAGUCACAGUGACCACGGCGCAAAUGAGGAAGAAUGAUGUGUGUUGGAAAGAUUGGAUAAUCGUUUAGAGCGAAUAUAGGUAAUCGGGUAGGUAGGUGGUCGUUGUGGAAUCCGUCGUGAGUUUGAUGCAGAUGUGCGUGUGAAUCUCUUUUCACGAUCUCCGUUGGGUUGUUCCGUUGGUAAUCAGGCGAGGGUAGGAAGGUCGCGAUGUGCCGCGAUGUUACUAACUUUUGUAACCCACAGCGUCAAAUGAUCACAGUGAUUUUUUUUCAGAAACACGUAAAAUACUCGAGUAUAAGAGUCUUCGAACUAUUACUGAGCUUUUAAAUUCCAACGUGGUUCAAUUUCCCAUUUCUUGUCGCUCUGCUAUCAUCUUGCAGUUGUUAUUCAAUUCGAUUAUUUGGUCAUUAUCGGUAAUUAUUUCAUUCAACUGAUUUCUGUGAUCGUCUGAAUGGGCAAAACGCAUCUCUGAACCAUCUAUCGCGUUCCGUGGUACGCUGGAUGGGGAGAGAUGCU
rnacentral:lncRNA from 1 species